rnacentral:rRNA from 1 species
UACAGAGGUCCCAAGCGUUGUUCGGAUUCAUUGGGCGUAAAGGGUGUGUAGGUGGCGCCGUAAGUCGGGUGUGAAAUUUCGGAGCUUAACUCCGAAACUGCAUUCGAUACUGCGGUGCUUGAGGACUGGAGAGGAGACUGGAAUUUACGGUGUAGCGGUGAAAUGCGUAGAUAUCGUAAGGAAGACCAGUGGCGAAGGCGGGUCUCUGGACAGUUCCUGACGCUGAGGCACGAAGGUCGGGGGAGCAAACGGG